GAUGAACGCUGGCGGCGUGCCUAAUACAUGCAAGUCGAGCGAACAGACGAGGCGCUUGCUCCUCUGACGUUAUCGGCGGACGGGUGAGUAACACGUGUAUAACCUACCUAUAAGACUGGGAUAACUUCGGGAAACAGGAUCUAAUCCCGGAUAAUAUAUUGAACCGCAUGGUUCAAUAGUAAAAGUCGGUUUUGCUGUCACUUAUAGAUGGAUCCGCGCCGCAUUAGCUAGUUGGUAAGGUAACGGCUUACCACGGCGACGAUGCGUAGCCGACCUGAGAGGGUGGUCGGCCACACUGGAACUGAGACACGGUCCAGACUCCUGCGGGAGGCAGCAGUAGGGAAUCUUACGCAAUGGGCGAAAGCCUGACGGAGCAACGCCGCGUGAGUGAUGAAGGUCCUCGGACCGUAAAACUCUGUUAUUAGGGAAGAACAAAUGUGUAAUUAACUAUGCACGUCUUGACGGUACCUAAUCAGAAAGCCACGGCUAACUACGUG
rnacentral:rRNA from 1 species